GAUGAACGCUAGCGGCAGGCUUAACACAUGCAAGUCGAGGGGUAGAAGUCUUCGGACUUUGAGACCGGCGCACGGGUGCGUAACGCGUAUGCAAUCUGCCUUGUACAAAGGGAUAGCCCAGAGAAAUUUGGAUUAAUACCUUAUAGUAUAUAGAUGUGGCAUCACAAUUAUAUUAAAGAUUUAUCGGUACAAGAUGAGCAUGCGUCCCAUUAGCUAGUUGGUAUGGUAACGGCAUACCAAGGCAAUGAUGGGUAGGGGUCCUGAGAGGGGGAUCCCCCACACUGGUACUGAGACACGGACCAGACUCCUACGGGAGGCAGCAGUGAGGAAUAUUGGUCAAUGGGCGCAAGCCUGAGCCAGCCAUGCCGCGUGCAGGAUGAAGCAUCUAUGGUGUGUAAACUGCUUUUGUACGGGAAGAAACACCUCUUCGUGAAGAGGCUUGACGGUACCGUAAGAAUAAGGAUCGGCUAACUCCGUGCCAGCCGCCGCUGUAA
rnacentral:rRNA from 1 species